rnacentral:RNase_P_RNA from 1 species
GCAGCAGCCUGUUCUGUCGCUGCUUUUGCUUUCGGGCAAAAGGAGAGGAAAGUCGGGACAACGCAGAGCGCCAUACUUCCUAACGGGAAGGUCCCGCUCAUACGGGAACAGCCAGUGCCACAGAAAAUUACCGCUGAUGUCGGUUCUUCCGGCAGGCAAGGGUGAAAACGUGAGGUAAGAGCUCACGCGUUGCGUUGGCGACAUCGCACCGGGGUAAACCUUAUGGGUUGAAAGGCCAUGUAUAUCGCGGCUCCACUACAGUGGAAUACAGGCUGCUCGUCGAAAUGCCGGAACUCCGGCAUGCCGUGAGGGGUAGGUCGUUAGAGCCAUGCUGCAAAGCCUGGCCCAGAUAAAUGACAGAAACUCCCGCUUCGGCGGGAUGACAGAAUCCCGCUUACAGGGCUGCUGCUUUU